rnacentral:lncRNA from 1 species
GUCAUCACCGGGAAGAAGCACGAGCUGGAGAAGGCUGGCGGGGAGCCGGAGCCCGCUUCGCGGGUGUGCACGGUGCUGGUGAGCCGCGCCACGCUCCAGGUCUGCAUUCAGCUAACACAUUCUCCAGGAACGAAGUGACCUGGCAAGAGAAUCAAGACGCGAAACCAAGUCUCCUGGUUUCAAAUGCCAUGCCCUCUCCACUGCCACAUUCUGCCAUGAGAACUCUGACAUCCAUAUGAAUGUUGCUUUUGCAGCCUGAUUUCUCCUCCUUUAUUGCAAGAGUUCUUAAGUUGUGUUCCUCCAUCACUGGCCACUCCCACCCCCAGCUCCCACGCUGGAAGCAUCUAAAACAGAACGGAGUCAGUCAAGGGGCGUUUCACGAACACUACCAUUUGCUGGGCAUAUUCCAGUCUCCAGGAACACAGGAGUGAAUGUGUCUUACGAAGUUCCUACUUUCACGGGAAAGGACAAAGAAAACACUAAACAAAAUGCAUUCUACUGGGGAGGACCUCAUUGAGGAGGUGACCUCUGAGGGAUCCAAGUGACGUGAAGGGGAGAAGCGGUCCAGGCACAGGAAGCAACCGGCCUGAGGUGGGUACUCGGCUGGCAGUGGCCAAGAUGAGCCAGGAGGGCCAGAUGUGCAGUAAGCAAGGGAACAGUCAAGUGUCAGCCCAGACCGCCAACGUUCAUUCCUGUUUGCCGUCAGACCUCUCCAGGUGCACCUCCUGGCGGGUUCCCUCUUGAGCUCGUCUGGCUAUUCGCCUGUCUACCGAGGUCUCUGUUUUCACUUCCAAGAUCUGUAACCAUCCUUUUUUGUUCUGGAUACCGUAUCACCUUACUUUUUUCUGAUUUGGAUUAUGCUUGUUUUAUAAUUAACCUCUUUACUGACAUUAUCACCUUUCACUGUAUAACAUUUGCUAUUUUAAGAAUCUUAGUUGUUUCUUCAUUUCCAUACUUGGUGGGUGGGG